AAGUCGUAACAAGGUUUCCGUAGGUGAACCUGCGGAAGGAUCAUUACCAAAACAUAGCUGUCUGGUCGCAAGGCCGUGACGCUUCAACCCAUUGUGAACCAAAAAACCUUUCGCUUCGGCAGCAGGUCCGGUCGGGAACGGCCGGGACGUCAGCCUGCCGCUAGCACCAACACAAAAACUUGCAGUCAAAACAUUGUCUGACAACCAAAUUUUCGAAUGAAAAUUAAAACUUUCAACAACGGAUCUCUUGGUUCCCGCAUCGAUGAAGAACGCAGCGAAACGCGAUAGUUAAUGUGAAUUGCAGAAUUCAGUGAAUCAUCGAGUCUUUGAACGCACAUUGCGCCCAUUGGUAUUCCAUUGGGCAUGUCUGUUUGAGCGUCAUUACAACCCUCGGUACCAACCGGUUUUGAGCUGGCUCGGGCCUCACCGCCCCGCCUGCUUUAAAGUUGUAAGCUCUGCUGGCCGCUCUGCCCAACCAGAACAUAGUAAAGCACUACUUGUUCAACGGUACAGGCUGAGACGGUUCCGGCCUGAACAAAACCAAAUUUCUCAAGGUUUGACCUCAGAUCAGACAAGGAUACCCGCUGAACUUA
rnacentral:rRNA from 1 species